ACCAAUUCUUGUUCAACUUGACACCUGAUGUAAAAUUCAUUUCUGAUCUGGACCAAGCCUUGAUUGGAACUUCCUUUCUUUUGCUGCAUGCUUUCGAGAACAUGUUCAAAUGCCAAUGUGGGAGAUUGGUAUCAUCAUCUCUUCAUCCUUCAGUACCAUUUCCACCUCUUCCUUCCCAGCCCAUGAGAAAAUACUCGUUUGAGUUGGUGAUGAACUCUUACCUCGUGAAAAAGCCUUGUGUGGGGAUGCAGUGUGGUAAGGUCUCCAUGUGUACAAUGGAAAAAAGUCUUUAAGCUUAAUGACAGAAUUUUCUUCUGGUCAAUGCAGUACUUGCUAAAUGGAAACCGCAGGUUAUGACGAAUACAAGAGGAUUAAGAAAUUGGCUUUUUGAAAAGGUUGCUGGAACCUUUGGAAGAGCAAUUCUUGAGCUUGAGAGUGAUGAC